UUGCAGGCUGAAACUCGCCUGCAUGAAGUCGGAAUUGCUAGUAAUCGCAGAUCAGCAUGCUGCGGUGAAUACGUUCCCGGGCCUUGUACACACCGCCCGUCACACCAUGGGAGUCGGUAACACCCGAAGCCUGUAGUCUAACCGCAAGGAGGACGCAGUCGAAGGUGGGAUUGAUGACUGGGGUGAAGUCGUAACAAGGUACC
rnacentral:rRNA from 1 species